UACGAAGGGUGCAAACGUUGCUCGGAAUCAUUGGGCGUAAAGCGCACGUAGGCGGCCCGAUAAGUCGGAUGUGAAAUCCCUCGGCUCAACCGAGGACGUGCAUUCGAAGCUGUCGGGCUCGAGUAUGGAAGAGGGUCGCGGAAUUCCCGGUGUAGAGGUGAAAUUCGUAGAUAUUCGGAAGAACACCAGUGGCGAAGGCGACUUACUGGACACAUAUUGACGCUGAGGUGCGAAAGCGUGGGGAGCAAACAGG
rnacentral:rRNA from 1 species